AAAAAAAAGAGUUUGAUCGUGGCUCAGGAUAAACGCUGGCGGCGUGCAUGAGACAUGCAAGUCGAACGAACGAGCUUGCUCGUUAGUGGCGGACGGCUGAGUAACGCGUAGGUGACCUGCCCCGAAGUGGGGGAUAACUGCCCGAAAGGGUGGCUAAUACCGCAUGUGGCGAUGUGUUCAUUCACAUCAUCAAAGCCGCGAGGCGCUUCGGGAGGGGCCUGCGUCCGAUUAGCUCGUUGGUGGGGUAACGGCUCACCAAGGCGACGAUCGGUAGGUGGUCUGAGAGGACGAUCACCCAGACUGGGACUGAGACACGGCCCAGACUCCUACGGGAGGCAGCAGUCGGGAAUUUUGCUCAAUGGGGGAAACCCUGAAGCAGCAACGCCGCGUGCGGGAUGAAGGCCUUC
rnacentral:rRNA from 1 species